rnacentral:lncRNA from 1 species
GUAUAGCUCUGUGUAUCAACUUUCUUUUCAAUAUCCUUUUUCCUUACAGCAUAUUUUAUGAAGAUGAAUUACACAUUUGUAUUUUGAUGAAUGAGUCCCAGGCCUUCCUUCAAAAAGCAGCAUGACUUGGUGGGCCAAAAUGGAGGCCGUUUGUUCAAAGGCAGCUUAAAAACAGAGUUGGUAUUCUUUGAAAGCUUGCCCUUUGCAUGUGGACAUGUCCUAAAGUUGAGAAAUUUCAGGAAGUGGAGGAGGAAAAACAACAGACUGAAGAUCAAUCUCAGAAACAAUGGCCUGCAGAGCUGUAGAACUUCACAAUGUAAGCCAGGAAGAGAUGGUCAUAAAGCAAAGGGUACUUAGUUACCUGGGCUGGACCGGGCCUGUGGGGAAGCGCUGCCUGCCUGGCUAACCUGUACCCUGAGUGGGGGUCCUUUCCCAAGCUGUCUUGCACGGGGAAGUUUGUGCUAUGUAUGCCAUGGAGUGGUUCCAGUCCGGUAAGGGUAUCCACGUGGUGAGUUUCAUGACAGUGACACUACAAGGAAAAGUGAGAGACUAAUCAGUUUUAUGUGCAAAAAAAGUAGUCACACCCCUGAAGGUGAAAAUAGAGCCAACCCAAGGGAAAAGACAAAUGAUUCAGUCUCAAGGCAGAGAGUUCAGUGUUGUCAAGAGCGCAAAGCAGAAUUAAUUAUCUACUCUGGCUUGCCCAUAAAGGAGAAGAAAGCAUUUGGAGCAGGUAAGGAUGAGUUCUCAUGAGGAAAUCC